GAAAUACAAUGUUAUACCAUGAAUUGGUGGA
rnacentral:sRNA from 1 species